rnacentral:tRNA from 1 species
GCUUUUUUAGUUUAAUUGUUGAAUAAUAUUUUGAAAAGAUAUAGGUUUUGUUUAAGCG